CACGAGAGGAGCCCGGCCAGCUCUGCGCGCGCCUCCUCGGCCGCUUCGGGCCCUGCGUCGCCAUCUGGUGGCCUUGCCGGCAAAACGCGCCCGCGGGGAGGGGACGAAACGGGGCCCGGGAGGCGGGGGGAGGCGGGGGGAGGCGGGGGAGCCGCCGCGGCCUUCGCCCCCGUCCCAUUACCCCUGGGACGCCCCCAUCCCGUUACCCCCGGGACCUCGGAUUCUGGUCCUGUUGGUCCCGAGCAUUUCUCGUCCGACGAAGCCGCGUUAGGAGGAUUCACGGGACCCGAGCGGGCGUUCGUUUCCGCUGCUGUCCGGUUCUCCGGGGCGGGUGGAGGGGACCCCGCGGAGACGCAGGCUCGGGCCCCAACAGCCCAGGGCCCGUCUCAUUCUAUCAACAGAGAGCGGAGGCGCCCAGGGCGCUGGAGCCGCGAAGGCCGCUGGGUCCCGGGGUCCCGGGGCCGCCCCCGGGAAAGGAGGCUGGGGGGACACUCGGGGCAGGAACCGCCGAAGGCGCCUCAGCUGCCCCUGGGAAAACCAACCCUAAACAAGUCGAAGGACCCCAGGACUGAUCAGGCAGAUGGAGGAUCAAUUGCGGCGGAAAAAGCAGCAGAUGCAGUUCAGUCCUCAUUUGUGAUUAAAACUCUCAAAAAGCUAGAAAUAAAAGAAAAUUUCUUCCACUUGAUAAAGGUCAUCUACCAAAAAAAUGUGCAACCAACAUCACUCUUAACGGUGAGGCUGUGUGGAUACUGUCUCCUAAGACACAGAGGAAGCCAAGGCUCUCCCCUCUCACCACACUUCAUGGUGAGGCUGUGGAUUCUGUCUCCUAAGACACAGAGGAAGGCAAGUCUCUCCCCUCUCACCACCCUUCAUGGUGAGGCUGUGGAUUCUGUCUCCUAAGACACAGAGGAAGCCAAGGCUCUCCCCUCUCACCACCCUUCAUGGUGAGGCUGUGUGGAUUCUGUCUCCUAAGACACAGAGGAAGCCAAGGCUCUCCCCUCUCACCACCCUUCAUGGUGAGGCUGUGUGGAUUCUGUCUCCUAAGAC
rnacentral:lncRNA from 13 species